AGCUUAUUGUCCCUGACCACAAAUAAAUAUAUACAUAUAUAUACAUACAUAUAUAUAUAUAUAUAUAUAUAUAUAUAUAUAUAUUUAUUUGUGGUCAGGGACAAUAAGCC